UUGGCGCGCAGCGUCAGUCUUCUGUGGAAAGUGAACAAGUGAGGACGUGUGAUCGCUGCCGGCUUGGAAAAUUCUACUGCGCAAUUGUUACUUGAUUAUCGGACCUCUAUAUUAUUCCGGAAGGCGGGAAAAAUUCCAACAUGGAUGCCAUUAUAUUUUUUCAAAGGAAAGCUUGAUUUUUCGCUGGUCUAUUGUACGUAUUUAUUAUGUAUUUAUUCGAUCGUUAUGUAUGAUAUAUAUAAUAUCAUUAGGUAAAAGUAUAUUUUAUCCUAUAUGUGUAAUGAACAUUCACCAUAAUUAUUAAUAAUCUUGCAUUAAUGAUAUAUAUAUAUUAAAUCUUUUUAUUCAUAAAAAUUGACAAUAAAUUGAUUUGUAGUUUUAAUAAAAGCGGUAAUUUUUUUUUUGAAACAAUUGUUCGAUAGAAAACAAAAAUUUUUACAUAGAUUCCCCCUCCCCCUCAUCACUAAUAUAGCUUUAUUUUCAGAGAAUUUUUGUGAUCGCGCGCAAUGCGAUCGGUAAAUUCAGUGUUUGCUUCGUAAUAGUUUUUUAGUAUUUAGAGCACAGUAGCUCUAAUUAAUUUACUACAAUUAUUCGCGAAACUAGAGUCAGUGUUUGUUCGCCGCUUCUAUUCGAAAUCGACGCGUUAGUAGAUUUUUAUUUUUAUUUUUUUAUUUUUUUUGAAUAUUCGUUUUCGGUACAGGGUAGAGUCAGUGUUCCUUGAGGAAUAGGGCGAUCAUCCAUCACGCGAAGAGAUGCCAAAGCGUCUUCAUUUCUCAUGGACUUCAGUUUUAAACAAUAUUUGUGAUCGCGCGCAAUGCGAUCGGUAGAUUCAGUGUUUGCUUCGUAAUAGUUUUUUAGUAUUUAGAGCACAAUAGCUCUAAUUAAAUUAACUAUAAUUAUUCGCGAAACUAGAGUCAGUGUUUGUUCGCCGCUUGAAAUCGACGCGUUAGUAGUUUUUUAUUUUUAUUUUUUUAUUUUUUUGAAUAUUCGUUUUCGGUACAGGGUAGAGUCAGUGUUCCUUGAGGAAUAGGGCGAUCAUCCAUCACGCGAAGAGGUAAUUGUUUUUAUAUAUUUUCUAUUCGCUUCAACUUUUUCAAAUAAUCACAGAAUUUUAAUGGUAGUGUUUCAUGUUUGGUUACAGUUUUCCCUUCCUCGUAAUGACUGUUUGGGGAUGACAUCGUGGACCACGACAAUGCAGAUUCUUCGCAUCUAUUGGUGAGUCGCAUGCAUUUAUGUUCCUCCGGUCAUUCAAUCAUGUCGUAGGACGAAAGGUCCGUAUCGGCACGGAUGACUGGUUGUAUACGUAGAAUUUUGC